rnacentral:tRNA from 1 species
GCCGUCGUAGCUUAACAAAAGCAUAACACUGAAGAUGUUAAGAUGGACCCUUAAAAGUCCCGACAGCA